rnacentral:tRNA from 1 species
GGAGAAUUGGCCGAGUGGUUUAAGGCACCGUCUUGGAAAGGCGGCGAAGUGAAUAGCUUCCGAGGGUUCGAAUCCCUUGUUCUCCGCCA